UACGUAGGGGGCAAGCGUUGUCCGGAGUUACUGGGCGUAAAGGGCACGCAGGCGGUGCGGCGCGUUUCGCGUGACAGCGGGUGGCUUAACUGCCCGAGGAUGCGAAAGACGGCGGCACUUGAGGGCCAGAGAGGGACACGGAAUUCCGGGUGGAGUGGUGAAAUGCGCAGAUAUCAGGAGGAACACCGGUGGCGAAGGCGGGUCUCUGGGCCGUAACUGACGCUGAGGAGCGAAAGCGUGGGGAGCGAACAGG
rnacentral:rRNA from 1 species